CGCUGGCGAGGUCUCGCUCUGGCGGCCGCGGAGAGCUCGUAGUGAGGUUGUGUAACGGCAGCUGAGUAACACACGGCCCCGUAUGGCACAUACAACCCCGGAGCUGUUAUCAGUCACCUCCGGCGGGCUGACUCACCGCCUCAACUGAUGCAAUUUGGGGAAGAAAUCGGAAACUACAGCAGGAGUGAUGCAAGACCCCAAGUAUCAGCACAUGAGGGGAAAUGCUUUAGUCUCCUUAUUGUUUAGAAGCAAAUCACCAUAGUAAACCUCUUCUGAACUGGGCAGUUCCCAAGACACGUGUCAUCAGAGAGCACAGACAGAAAAGAACAACCAUAACUUCAGAAGCUCAUAAAGUUAGAAGACUGCACUCCAAUGCAGGAAUAGUGAAGGCAAAAAAGUUUACAGUGCAUUUGCUUUGCAGGUACUGCAACUUAGCCCUAUUCACUUGAAUGUAGUGAAGCUGCAGUUCUCUCCGUAACUGGACCGACAAGUUACCACCCAUUGUAGAGAUGCUCUUUGGGGGUCAUUGAAAUUCGGAUGCUGCCAAUAAACAUGUGAGAUCAGAAAGUGGAUCCCCUUUAAAGAGGAUCUGUAAUAAUUAAGUGUAUGUUUCCCAAAGGAAUAUCAGAGGAACAGCAUGAGUUCUCAGAUAAGAUGCUUCCACAUUGCUUUUUCAUGAGGACUACUAAAACAGAUAUGUCAGGAAUACUUUCCUAUUGAGAAUUAUUGUGAAAAAAACUUCUGCUUUUUUUUUUUGCAGUGGCCACUGUCAAC